GUUAUUUUAUUCUACAAAGACUUUGGGAAUGUUUCUAUAUGACCAGCUUGAGGGAAAUGCCUCUAUCACAAAAGAUAGAUUUCUAAAACCUUGAUGAUUUGAAUCGAUCCUGGGUCUGUGCUGGAUUAUCAACUCGCCUUCAAGAAUACAAAUCUGAAAAUGCACAACUAGAGGAACUUCUCACUGUAGAGAGAGAGCUGAGUAAAUCAUAUGAAGCUAACAUAAAACAGCUACAGAAGGAUUUGUCUGAAAGUAAAAGGGAAGUAACAAGAGUUGAAUCAAAUAUGGUUGAGGCCUUGGCAGCCAAAAAUGCUGAAAUUGAGGCACUUCUAAGUUCCAUGGAUGCACUUAAGAGGCAGGCUGCACAAUCUGAAGGAAAUCUAGCUUUCAUUUAGGUUCUUCUUUGUUAA